rnacentral:lncRNA from 1 species
UGUCUAAAAUAUUGCAAAAUUGUUUUAUAUAGAUUUCAUUUAACCCUUUAAAGUAAUUCUUUAAUGCAGUUAAUAUUAUUUUCAUUCUAUAGAUCAGGUGACUGCUACUUAGAGAGUUAAAGUGAUUUGCCUAAGGCCACACAGCUAAUAAAUGUCGUAGCUAAAUAUGUGAACACAGACAAAUCUGACUCAAAAUUCUUGCUCAGUCAAUCUCAAAAUAUUACCUUGUGCAAACUAGAGCUCUCCCCACUGAUAAUGUUAUCCCAUUUUAGCACAGAAACUUGAAAUGUAACUUCUCUUGCUAACUUAGUGAAGUAAAUUAGAAUGAGAUUGAGGAGGCUCUCUGUAAAUAAAAGAAAGAAACAAAAAAUAAUGAGCAGAUAUUCAAUAUUCACAUAUAGAGCAAGAUAUAAAUUCAAACUUUUGAUAAAGACUUAAGUAAACAAAAUAAACAGAAACAGAGUCGUAGAGAGACUCAAUAACUUGCCUAAGGUCAUACAGCUAGUCAAAAACAUGGUCCAGAUUCAAAAUCGGGUCUCUGCAUCUACUACAGAUGCAGGAGCCAGCAGGCUGACUACUCCGAGAACUCAUCAUUGCACUUUCACUGGUAGGUGAUUGAAUGCACCUUAUGAUGCUACAGGAUGUGAGAACAAGGGGGUGGGGUGGGGUAGGCUAAGUGAGUAGGCUUUUUACAAUUAAUAAAAGUCCUAGCACUGACACUGUUUUUUGUUGAAUAAAAUAAAACAUACUAGGAAUUAAUAAAUAACAGAAACACUAAUUUUUAACCAUAGAAAGACAGCUAAACCACCAAGGCCCAGCCAACUGGUGGGAUCCUGAAAUGAACUUCCCUUGAAAGCGGCACGUCUUUGCACCCUGUCAGCGAAGAGAUUGUUUACAUGCAAUGAGGCUGAGUUUAAAAGAAGGCAGAAAGAAAGAAGAAAACACUAUGACUACAGUUCUGUGAGUGUGCAUAUCCAAAGGGAGAUACCCAUCCAUAGAAGAUGGUUGCUGUCAGAAAAUGCUGAGGAGUUUGCACAAGGAACGGAAGUGGAGUUGACCAAUGCAUCAGGAAGCGUACACUUUCUUUUUAAACCGCUGUGCUCGUCUGUAAAGACCCAAACCUGAGGGGUAAAAGGGGAGAGAAUGAAGUUAAUGCUUCUGUGUCAUAGAGAAAAGCUGCCAGAAUGUGAUUAAGCUUUUUGAGUUAGAACUUAAUAAAAAUGCCUUUGCUACUGGUUUCCAUGGUUGUCCAGUGAAAAGAGUGAAUACAUUUAUACUAAACACAAAAGGUGGUUUCAGAGCUUGGGCAGGAGGGAAGACGUAUUUCUUCUACUAUUUGCUCCUGUAAGUUUAGUGUCACAAACCUCCUCAGGAGUCUGGGAGAUGCUGGGGGAGCAUUUUUCAUCCAAAUGCUGAGCAGGUUUGAAUUUCUUCCUGAACAGGAAAUGAAGACCUAGAUCUUGAGAAAGGCCUAGCUCCUCGCUAAUGAGCUUACCUGCUUCUCUUGAGACAGCUUGCCUUAAAGUAGACAAUGCUCUCAUGGGCUUCUAGAUCUUAGAAAAUGCUUCUCAUUCUAGGGGGCUUUGGCCAUGGAGACCAUCACACAGCUCUUUUCCCUUCUCCUUUUGGCUGCCAUCCCAGUAAACGGGUCCUGUCCAGAACCCACAGAGGAGAAAGGCAUUAGAGAGGUGGUAAAGAUGGAUGGUGGGCUUGGCAGCGAUGUUAAGUCCUGAAAAAUGCUGUGAGUUGGGAAGUUUCUUACAACACUGUGUUUCUACAAAGGAAUACUUGAUGCUGGGUAAUUUAUAAAGAAGGAGGUUACUUUGACUUGCAAUU